GUGAGUCAUCGAAUCUUUGAACGCACAUUGCGCCUGCUAGCAUUCUGGCAGGCAUGCCUGUCCGAGCGUCAUUUCCACCCUCACGCUCCGCGUGGUGUUGAGGCUCUCUCGCAACGAGAGGCCCCGAAAGCGAGUGGCGGGCCGCCUGGUUGGCUCCGAGCGCAGUAGAAACGCAUGUUUUUUUUCCCGCUCUGGACGCUGCCGGCGGUGCCCUGCCGUCAAAACGCACCAUGACGUGCAACUUUCUCAUAAGGUUGACCUCGGAUCAGGUAGGACUACCCGCUGAACUUAAGCAUAUCAAUAAGCGGAGG
rnacentral:rRNA from 1 species